rfam:Populus trichocarpa scaffold_4_contig_481, whole genome shotgun sequence.
GCUAGAACUCAAGAUAUGGGUUGAACACUAAACAAUGUCUGAGCUUGGACAAAUUCAGACUUAUCUUUUAUUGCUAAGAUUUAAACUUUAAAACAACAGUAUUGAAUUUUGGACUCUUUAUGAAUGUUUUAGACAUAUGUCUUAACUUUCCAUU